rnacentral:rRNA from 1 species
UACGAAGGGGGCUAGCGUUGCUCGGAAUCACUGGGCGUAAAGCGCACGUAGGCGGAUUGCUAAGUCAGGGGUGAAAUCCUGGAGCUCAACUCCAGAACUGCCUUUGAUACUGGCGAUCUUGAGUCCGGGAGAGGUGAGUGGAACUGCGAGUGUAGAGGUGAAAUUCGUAGAUAUCCGCAAGAACACCAGUGGCGAAGGCGGCUCACUGGCCCGGUACUGACGCUGAGGUGCGAAAGCGUGGGGAGCAAACAGG